CUAUAUUCAUGGCGUGGUGAGCCAUUCGUGCCAGGAAUAAGACCGGAGGAUAUAAUCUGAGGACCUCGUAUAGGAUCAUUGUUACCUGAAUCAAUACAACAACACAAACAAUUCAAAAUCGACAAUCAGGUAAUGGAAAUAUAACAAGGUUGACUGAUUUCUUACGAUCUUCAACUGAUUCAUGUCGCUAAAAACAGGCUGUUUUCUUCCACAUACUUGUAAAACUUCUUGUCGAGCAAGAUGUUGCCAAUUUGGAUACAUACUCAAAACAACUAGCGUCCAGUUGAGUAAAACUGAAGUGGUCUCUUGUCCGGCAAAGUAGAACAACUUGCAUUCCCCUAUCAUUUCAUCUGUGGUGAUCCCUGUUGUUUCUUGAUUUGAAUUUGAAUCCAUUAAGAAACCCAACAAAUCAUCAUGACUAGCAGAGGAAGAAGUUGAAGCUGGGUUUGUUGCAAUCGACUGUUCUCGCUUCUUAAUGAUACCUCUCAACAAAUCACAAACCUCACUAUCGAUUUCCUUCCUUCUUCUGUUAUUUCUUGUUGGAACAAACCUGCAAACAAUCACUCACAAAAAAGAAUGAGAAUGAAUGAGAAUAAAUGAGACGAGAACAGUCUAUUCAUACCCAAACCGAUACUCACUUCAACCCAGGAAUGUAGAUGGAUCGAACGGCUUGAAUUAAAAGUUCGACUUGUUCGGUUUGGAGUUGGAAUAUCCUUCUUCCCUCCAGGUAACUACUACCGAAAGCUGAUCGGGAAAUGAUAUCUCCGGUCAGAUUUUCGAGUUCAGGCCAGACGUCUAGUUCCACUGAUUCUCCGCUGCCGAGAAGUUUUUCCCACCUAUCAAUCAAUUCGCUGCAACAACAAGAAAAUGCCCCAUACAUCUUCUGUUGUUCAAAAAAUUAGAAAUCAAUUGAAAAGAAGUAAAAAUAAAUAUCCUAAAUAAAUAAUCCAAUCGGAUGAAAGAUAACCUUCAAUUUGUCGACAUGAAAAACGGGAUUUAUAAUCUUUCUACGAUCGACCCACUUCUGACCUUGUAAAUUAACCAGACCGUUGAGAAGAUACCCUCCCAACGGAUGUAUCGGUGUCUUAUCGAUAUGUCCAGAUUUGUCGCACAUAAUUUCUCUUACAAGCUUUGGAUCCGUGACAAUAACUAUCGGAGAAGUACCCAACCACAAAUAACACAGCUUGCCACCGCAAUCUUCAACAACUUGACUGAAGAAGGGACUGGCUCUUCUUAAGAUGUCGUUUGAGAAAGGAGCUAUUGGUCUGGAUACAGCUUCUUUGGUUUGUUUGACCAGUUUCCGUAGAUCGCCGAAGAGAAUCGUGUACGGCGUUCCUUUGAUUCCUUGAGAUUGGAGAAGCUUCUCAAGCUUCUUGGGCUUCCACCAUAACCACUCUACUGUUCUUAGAAUAACUGUGCCGACACAUCCCACCAACAACAACAAACCCACAAACUCAGCAGACCAAAACUUCAUAAUCCUCCACACUCGAUCAGAGACUCAGAGUGAUAUGGAUGACUUUCCCGAGCUGAGUGAUACGUAUGAUCAUCACAUAUUUCUGCGGUGGCUAAAUAUCUAACGUUUGCUUCCAAAAAAAAUAAAUAAUAAUGAUAAAAUAAAAUAAAAAUCUAACGUAGUAACGUGUCAAAUUAUUCUUAUGAGAAUGGGUCCGGGUCGACCCACGAUUAAAAUUAUUUAAGGUUAUGGGUUUUAUUCUUCGAUAUUAAGGAUACAAUUUUCCGAGAUCGGGUUAGUCAGUCAUUUUUGAAGUUGGGUUUGAAUCGGUAUGAUUUUAAUAAACUGUUAAUACUUUGAAUAUGUGGUCGUAUGUUAUCGUGAUCAUUAAUAUUUAAUUUAAUAGUUAAAAUAAUAUACGAUGUAAAAUAAUACACUACACAAGAAACUAACACAUAAAUUGACAUGUUCACUUUGACACAUAUUAAAUUCGUUUUGUAAUUAAUAUAAAUCAUCAGAAUACUAUUGUAUUAAUAUAAAUCAUUAAAUAUUUGUAUUAGAGAUAUACCCUUGUAUUCCAGUAAAAAUUAUAAAUAUAAUUUUAUUGUAAAUAUUAAUCUCAUAUCCCUGAGAUUCAUAGAUAUUAGAAAUAUAACAUUAUGGUAAAUAUACAUUAUAUCGUGAAUAUUAAUCUUAACCCUAUAUUUAAUUUUAACUCCUCACAUUCCUUUUUAAGAAUUCUCAUUUAUAUUAAUUCCACAUCCAACAUAUUUAAUUCCAUAUUUGUAAUCAAUACUAAACACCAAUAUAAUCGUUGGGUGUUUACUAUUUAAACUAACCUUAACCUUUAUCAUAGAUCACGUUCUUACACUCUAUAAUCACUCAACACAAAAAGCGCUGAUCAUCUUCAACACAAUUGUUUGCCCACAUCACAACACAAUUGGAUCUUUAUCAAAUCUGCAAUCAUGCAUUGGAUCUUCAGCAAUUUUAAUUUAUACGGUUGAACUUGAAAAUUGCAGUACCUGAAAUAUAUGAAGCUCAGUAUCUCUUCGCUAUUUCGUUGUGCUCUGCCAUAGCUAACCAUGAAUUGUACAUUCUGACAGGCUUUUUACAAUAUACUCCUUGGUUGAAUAGCUACCGAUUGUGCGAGGUGGUUACUGUAUCCGUGUAAGAGAUUGGUAAAUAUAGAAGGCCAAGUCAAAUUCCAGUGACCAUUGGCCAAAGCCCGGUCAAUUCUACUAGCCCAGUAGUUCUGCCCAAUCCCACCAUUGCACCAAGUAUAAUAGUCCCCAACAUAGUCCAGCUUAGUCAGACCUGCUUGUGUGAUUGCACUGGCAAAGUAUGAAAGCAUUGAUCUGUUUCCUUGAGAUCAUAUAUCUACAUAUGUUGCUAGGAGGAUUUUGUUGAAGUCACCGAGCAAAAUCCAAUUUUCUUGCAAGAGUUCAGGAGUUAGAUAGACAAUAUCUCAAGCCCAUACUUCUUCUCUAAUUUCAACUUCAUUCUUACAAUAAACCACAGUCACAAACAGUGAUAGACCUCCCGUGUGUUUUAAUUUCAUGUGGAUUCGUUAGGUCUUCCUUCACACUGAUGAUUUCUGCAUCCCAAAUAAUUGGGUUCCAUAAGACCCAAAUUGAGCCCCCCUACCCAUUGGGUUUCAAUUCGAAAUAGAUGCCCAGUUUCUGCCAAAGAAGUCCUUAGUGAGUUGUUCAUUAACUUGCUUGAUUUUAGUUUCAAGCAAGCCUAAAAUUGCAACGUUGUAUUUAAAACAGUUUUUCUUAAUCUCAUUCUUCCUACUGUUCCUUACAUCCCUGCUGAUCAUUUUUUCUUUGGAGUUAGGUUGUCCGUCGUUUUUUCCACUGUGAUGCUUUGGAUUCGAGAUAUAGGCGAUCUUCCUUGUAGAGUGUGAUGAUUCUGGAUGGGCCGUACUCUUCUCAGCAGUCUGAUGUGGCAUCUUCUUCCUCCAGUAUCUGGCCAGUAGACCAAACAGCAGGGAUUCACUGUCAGGAAGAGGCAGGGAGACUCCUCUGUUUGGAGCUUGGUUCUAAACGCCUCCAGGUUUAUUUUAGGGUCAAGGAACAAUUGGCAAAGAUUAGCUAAUUGAUUAAAGGUCUUAAACAGACCUUAGUUAUCCAAACAGAGUCUGUAAAUGUAUUAACAUUAAAUUGAAUAAAGGAUGUGGAUUAAAUAAAUAAUUCCUACAGAACCUUUAAUCAAUUUAGUGUCAAGUUUCUAUGUGCAGGUAAAUUUCCCAGACUUAUAGAAACUUGAAAGUGUUGUAAAGAUAAUUGUUUAAAUAAAAGAAACGGGCCAAUAACUAAAAAUAUGGGCCAAAUUUAAAUUUAAAUUAGUUUAUGUAAAUAUAAAACAAUUGUAUUAUAAAUAACCCAACAGUGUAAACACUUAUUAUUUAAUUGAGAUUACAGCAAAUUACUUUAGGACCCCAUCUAAAGUACUAGAAAACAAAACCCAUAUGAAGUAUUUAACAAUCAAACACCAAAUUAUAAAAACUUAAAAAAUUUGGUUGUUUAUGUUAUGCAACAACCAACAUUAGAAAACACAAAUUUUUUCCAGAAAAUUUUAAAGGUAUUCCAUGAGCAAUCAUGUUUCCUAUCAUAGGGUAAGUAAACAACAAAAAUACUUUUUAAAACAAAUAACCUUACAUGAUGAGCCCAACUCUUUUAGUGAGGCUUCAAAAGACCCAAAAUGGGUUGAAACAAUGCAAAAAGAGAUGAAAGCGUACUCUCAUAGAGAACAAUUCAUGGACUUUAUCUGAAAUUCCAAAAGAUAGAAAAUCAAUAGGAUUUAAAUAGAUUUAUAAGUUAAAAUACAAGGCAAAUGAUGAAAUAAAAAGAUACAAAACAAGACUAGUAGUCAAAGGUUUUACACAAAAACAAAGUUUUGAUUUUUUGAAACCUUUGCACCAGUAGUCAAAAUGGUGACAAUUAAAUACAAUCAUAGAUGUACGUGGCAGCUAUGAAAAAUUGAAAUUUAUAUCAACUAGAUGUUAAUAAUGUAUUUUUUUCAUGGUGAAUUAAAUGAACAAGUAUAUUUAAGACUACCCCAUGGUAUAAACUAAACAAAUCAUUAUAUGGCUUAAAAUAAACUUCAAGGAAUUGGUUUGAAAAUUAAGAGGUGUUCUAUUGGAUAUUGGUUUUAGCCAAGCCAAAUCAGAAUAUUCUCUAUUUAUAAGAGAGAGAAAUCAAAAUAUUAUAUAUCUUCUAGUCUAUGUGAAUGACAUAAUAAUAACAUGGAGUAAUGAAUUAGAGAUUGACAUAAUUAAAAUUCAACUAGAAAAUGAAUUUAAACUAAAAGAUCUAAAAAGGUUAAACUAUUUUUUAAGUAUUAAAGUCUCAUACUCCAACAAAGGGGUUUAUCUCUUACAAAGAAAGUAUACUCUAGGAAUUCUAGAGGAUUGUGGGCACUCAGACGUUAAACCUUUCAAAAUACCCACGGAGAGACAUAUAAACCUAAAAGAUGAUAAAUCACCAAAAAUACAAAAUCCAACUUUUUAUAGAUAAAUAGUGGGAAAGCUCGUCUAUUUGAAUAUCAGAAGACCAUGCAUUAGUUUCUCAGUAAUUUAGUUAAGCCAAUUCAUGCAUGAGUCAAGAGAGAUACAUCUCUAAGUUCUAUUCAAGUUGAUUAGGUACAUCAAAAAUGCACCUGGUCAAAGGCUAAUAUACAAGAAAACUGAAAAUCUAACGAUACAAGGGUACUCUGAUCUGAUUGGACAUCAUGCCAAAUCAGCAGGAAGUUCUUAACUGGUUUUUGCAUUAUGUUGGAAGACUCACUCAUUUCAUGAAAAAAUAAGAAACAAAUAACAGUGGUAAGAUCAUCUCUUGAAGCUGAACAAAAUUAAACAUUAUUUCUUAUAAAUAGAAUGGACGGAUGACAAUUAAAAUCAAGAAAUCAUGAUUAAGAUUGAGUUUCUUAUUUUGAUUACUAACCCUAAUUAUGAUGAUGAAACUAACUCUAAUAAUAACAAUUUUAGCGGUUUGGACCCGAUUGUCCAGGUCCGUAUACUAGGGUACCGGUCCUGUAAGGACUAACAGGACCUGAGGUAUAUUAGUAAAUAUAUUAUAUAAAAUUAACAAUAUAAUUAAUACAUGCAAUCUUGCAUAAAUAAUACAUUACUAAUUUAUAUUUAAUUUUUUUAAUUUAAUGAGCCUUAACAAUUUAACAGAACACUUAUGCAAUUAAUCCAAAAAAAAUUAAUUUAAAUUUUUAGCCAAAUUAUAUAGAUAUAAUUUGAAAAAAUGAACGGUGUGAGAUCUUGACUAAUUUAGAUUACUUGAUUAGCAUAACUAUUUUGAUUAUAAUUUAUUAAUAGUUAUCUUAUUCUAAGUAUUAAUUAAUAUUAUUAACCUAUUAUUAUUUUUUUAAAUCCCUAUUUUUCCUAAACCCCGUAGUCCUUAAGCCCCUUACAAUGUCUGUCUGGGUCAGGUCCGGACCCAACAUUUUGUUUGCUGAACCUUAUAGUCUUACUGGGUCUGGGUCCACCAUAGAUCCGAACCGGGGUUAGUCUUUUGGUAAAACGUGAUUAGAAUCUAACUACACAAGAAACACGACCACUAAUUAAAUAGUGGUAAAUCCAUCAUAAUUAUUCAUACAAUUAUUUAUCACCAUUAUCUCGCAUAGAAAAGACAAAAUAUUUCAUUCGUCGAAUCGAGAUAAAAUGAGGGGAGUGCCAUGUUGUGGAUGCAAAGUCAAGACAGAAAACGGUGCAUGGAGGUAAGAUGGCGAAAGUUCAAACUUGAAACGUUGCAGAAUCAUAGCCAACCCCAGUUUUGCUUCUAUCAUCGCAAAGGUCUGACCAAUACAAGUUCGAGAUCCGGCUCCGAAAGGGAAGAAGAUCAUCUUGUUCUUGGUUGCUUUAGAUAUGCCUUGGGAGAACCUCUCUGGUUUGAACUCUUUCACGUCAUCACCCCAGAGGGACGGAUCGUGGUGCAUGAUGAGUAUGGGCAACCGGAAUUCCAUUCCACUUGGAAAACUGUACCCACCUAUAUUCAUGGCAUGGUGAGCCAUUCGUGGCAGGAAUAAGGCCGGAGAAUAUAAUCUGAGGACCUCGUAUAUAAUCAUGGUCACCUGAAUCAGAACAACACAAACAAUUCAAAAUCGACAAUGAGGAAAUGGAAAUAUAACAGGUUGACUGAUUUCUUACGAUCUUCAACUGAUUCAUGUCGCUAAAAACAGGCUGUUUUCUUCCACAUACUUGUAAAACUUCUUGUCGAGCGAGAUGUUGCCAAUUUGGAUACAUACUCAAAACAACUAGCGUCCAGUUGAGUAAAACUGAAGUGGUCUCUUGUCCGGCAAAGUAGAACAACUUGCAUUCCUCUAUCAUUUCAUCUGUGGUGAUCCCUGUUGUUUCUUGAUUUGAAUUUGAAUCCAUUAAGAAACCCAACAAAUCAUCAUGACUAGCAGAGGAAGAAGUUGAAGCUGGGUUUGUUGCAAUCAACUGUUCUCGCUUCUUAAUGAUACCCCUCAACAAAUCACAAACCUCACUAUCGAUUUCCUUCCUUCUUCUGUUAUUUCUUGUUGGAACAAACCUGCAAGCAAUCACUCACACAAGAGAAUGAAAAUGAAUGAGAAUGAAUGAGAACGAGAACAGUCUAUUCAUACAUACCCAAACCGAUACUCACUUAAACCCAGGAAUGUAGAUGGAUCGAACGGCUUGAAUAAAAAGUUCGGCUUGUUCAGUUUGGAGUUGGAAUAUCCUUCUUCCCUCCAGGUAACUACUACCGAAAGCUGAUCGAGAAAUGAUAUCCCCGGUCAGAUUUCCGAGUUCAGGCCAGACGUCUAGUUCCACUGAUUCUCCGCUGCCGAGAAGUUGUUCCCACCUAUCAAUCAAUUCGCUGCAACAACAAGAAAAUGCCCCAUACAUCUUCUGUUGUUCAAAAAAUUAGAAAUCAAUUGAAAAGAAGUAAAA
rnacentral:lncRNA from 1 species